rnacentral:rRNA from 1 species
AAACAUGCAGUUAACGAUCCCUUCGGGGAGAGCGGCGAAUUUGCGAUGAAUAGAAUCGAAUGUACCCCAAUGGUAGAGGAUAGCUUCUGGAAACGGAAGUGUAUACUCUAUGUGCUCUACGGAGGAAAGGUUUACCGGCUUGGGAGCAGCGAUUCUCCUAUCAGGUAAUUGGUGAGGUAACGGCUCACCAAGCCGAAGACGGGUAGCGGGUGUGAGAGCAUGAACCGACGCAUCGGGACUGAGACACUGGCCGGACUCCUACGGGAGGCUGCAGUAACGAAUCUUCCGCAAUGUGUGCGAAAGCCUGACUGAGCAAUGCCGCGUGUGGGAUGAAAGCAUCUACGAUUGUGUAAAACCACAUGUCAGGUGUCUAAGUGAAUAUCGUUGACCCAAACCCCAGAAGGACAGUGGCCUGGCUUAAUUUCCAGUGCCAAGAAAACCCGGGGUAAUUACGGGAAGUGGCCAGAGCCGUUUAAAUCAGGGAAUCCACUGGGGCCUUUAAAUGCGUAC